CCUACGGGAGGCAGCAGUGAGGAAUAUUGGUCAAUGGACGCAAGUCUGAACCAGCCACGCCGCGUGCAGGAAGACGGCUCUAUGAGUUGUAAACUGCUUUUGUACGAAGGUAAACGCAGAUACGCGUAUCUGUCUGCACGUAUCGUACGAAUAAGGAUCGGCUAACUCCGUGCCAGCAGCCGCGGUAAUACGGAGGGUUCAAGCGUUAUCCGGAUUUAUUGGGUUUAAAGGGUGCGUAGGCGGUCGGAGAAGUUAGAGGUGAAAUCCCGAGGCUCAACUUCGGAAUUGCCUCUGAUACUGUUCGGCUAGAGAGUAGUUGAGGUAGGCGGAAUGCAUGGUGUAGCGGUGAAAUGCUUAGAGAUCAUACAGAACACCGAUGGCGAAGGCAGCUUACUAAGCUAUUUCUGACGUUGAGGCACGAAAGCGUGGGGAGCAAACAGGAUUAGAUACCCCAGUAGUC
rnacentral:rRNA from 1 species